rnacentral:misc_RNA from 1 species
UCUCCGUAGGUGAACCAGCGGAGGGAUCAUUACUGAAUUUCCCUUGCGCCUUCAACCCAUCAAACCUUAGGUCCGCGAAAAUUGUCGUUCAGGGCUGCGACGGCGGCGUCCGGUUUAUGCGGCAAGCUGGAUUCUGUGUGAUCUAUAAAUAAGAUUAAAAACUUUCAACAACGGAUCUCUUGGCUCUG